rnacentral:tRNA from 1 species
GGGGUCAUAGCUCAACUGGCUAGAGCGUCCGCCUUGCAAGCGGAAGGUUAGGGGUUCAAAUCCCCUUGAUUCCACUA